rnacentral:rRNA from 1 species
GACGAACGCUGGCGGCGUGCUUAACACAUGCAAGUCGAACGGAAAGGCCCUGCUUUUGUGGGGUGCUCGAGUGGCGAACGGGUGAGUAACACGUGAGUAACCUGCCCUUGACUUUGGGAUAACUUCAGGAAACUGGGGCUAAUACCGGAUAGGAGCUCCUGCUGCAUGGUGGGGGUUGGAAAGUUUCGGCGGUGGGGGAUGGACUCGCGGCUGAUCAGCUUGUUGGUGGGGUAGUGGCUUACCAAGGCUUUGACGGGUAGCCGGCCUGGGAGGGUGGCCGGCCACCUUGGGCCUGAGAUACGGCCCAGUCUCCUACGGGAGGCAGCAGUGGGGAAUAUUGCACAAUGGGCGGAAGCCUGAUGCAGCAACGCCGCGUGCGGGAUGACGGCCUUCGGGUUGUAAACCGCUUUCGCCUGUGACGAAGCGUGAGUGACGGUAAUGGGUAAAGAAGCACCGGCUAACUACGUG